GUAUAUUUUAUAAAUUAAGAAAUGAAAACUGUAACUGUACUAAGUUCAAUUUUCGUAUCGUUUAUAUGCCUUACGGAAAACCGACCUUUUCCGGAAUCGACUUUUGUUUUAUCACCGGAAAUGAUUUUGAAAUUUGAAUUUCGAAACGAAGACAGGAUAUCAACAAAGAGAGCCAAGAAAAUUGUUUGUUACGCGAUAUAUACUCACUUGGAGCUAAAAGAAAAGCCACAAAGGACAAGUUCAAUAUGCAGGUUUACAAUUUGGAAGUGGCACAGGUUCUUUGGAAUGUCUACAGCCUUUCAGGAGAAUUUUUUUUUGAAAAGCAUGGCACAGCAAGAAAAAGAUAUAAGACACUACAAGACAUUCCAAGUGAUUAUGAAUAAGACAAUUGAUUGACUUUUUCAAUGUAUUCUUAAAUAAAUCAAAUAGUUGAUGUAAAA